CAGUAGCCACGGUAAUACAGAGGGUGCGAGCGUUAAUCGGAUUUACUGGGCGUAAAGCGUGCGUAGGCGGCUUUUUAAGUCGGAUGUGAAAUCCCUGAGCUUAACUUAGGAAUUGCAUUCGAUACUGGGAAGCUAGAGUAUGGGAGAGGAUGGUAGAAUUCCAGGUGUAGCGGUGAAAUGCGUAGAGAUCUGGAGGAAUACCGAUGGCGAAGGCAGCCAUCUGGCCUAAUACUGACGCUGAGGUACGAAAGCAUGGGGAGCAAACAGGAUUAGAUACCCCCGUAGUCACUGUCUCUUAUAA
rnacentral:rRNA from 1 species